rnacentral:rRNA from 1 species
GUGAGGAAUAUUGGUCAAUGGGCGGAAGCCUGAACCAGCCAUGCCGCGUGAAGGAUGAAGGUUCUAUGGAUUGUAAACUUCUUUUAUUUGGGAAUAAACCCUCCGACGUGUUGGAGGCUGAAGGUACCAAAUGAAUAAGCACCGGCUAACUCCGUGCCAGCAGCCGCGGUAAUACGGAGGGUGCAAGCGUUAUCCGGAAUCAUUGGGUUUAAAGGGUCCUCAGGCGGAUUUUUAAGUCAGUGGUGAAAGACUACAGCUCAACUGUAGAACUGCCAUUGAUACUGUAAGUCUUGAAGUCGGUCGAAGUGGGCGGAAUAUGACAUGUAGCGGUGAAAUGCAUAGAUAUGUCAUAGAACAACGAUAGCGAAGGCAGCUCACUAGGCCUGAAUUGACGCUCAUGGACGAAAGCGUGGGGAGCAAACAGGAUUAGAUACCCGGGUAGUCC